UUUGUCAGAUCUGGAAAAAAUGUAUGUUUUGGUGCACCACAGAAUUUUAGUGAUUAGUUUAUGUAUACCAUGAGAUGAAAAAGGCUGAAAAUCGAUGACUCAGAGUAAUGGUUUCCAGGAGUCACAGAAGAUGAUCCUUUGAAAUACAAGAAAAAAUAUAAAUCCACGUCUCCUAUCUGUAAUUUCAAAAUCCAAAACUCUUAAGGUUUUUUAAAUAAAUUAGCAGCAAACUUACUUAGGUAAGCCCUGAUCUAGGUAAACUGGACAAGAUGCUAUACACAGUACAUAGUCUUUAUUACCUUAGUAUAAUUAUUCAUAUGCUUCAGGUAGAAAUAUUAAUGUAUAGUAUCUGACAGCAAAGUACUGCUGUGUACCUCAAAGUGGGUCUUAAGUAAUAUGUGGCAAACAUACCAUAUUAUGGUUCUAAAAUCCAAAGUUUAUAAACUCAAUCCCGAGCAUUCCAAAUUAAAGGUUGUGAACUUGCAUUAAAACUUUUAUUUUCAUAUUCACAUUUUUUCCUAAAAAAUCUAACAAGGAAAUUAGGUUUUACUUCUGUAAAUUAGUCAGUUGACACUAGCACCCUCAAUGGGUCACUAAAAAAAAUGACAUGUCACACAUGGAGCAGAAGGUGUACUCAUGGUGAGUGGGAGUUUGAAAGCACGAGGGCCUAAUAAUGCUGUUCACCUCUGACAUGAAGACGUGCUGCAGUUUUUUGGUGCCCAGUUAACCAGAUUUGUGUAGUAUAUCCUAAUAACACAAAAAGAACAUGUUGUUGAGUAUCUUGAGACACAAUACCUAAAAGUCAAAAUUAUAAGUUCCAUAUAUUUUUAACAAAUAAUGUUUUCUGAAACUGCAUACCUUUUUUGAAAUGAAAAGUAGUUGUUAGUGGUAUGCUUCUUAAAGCUUUUUUUAAAAAUUAUACCCCUUUAAUCUGUCCCUUCCAGGUAAAGAUGAUGUCUGACAAUAAAUGGGAAAAUAAAUGCUGUCCAAAAGAAACCAAAGUAAACAAUAUGAAUUGAUAUUUAGAGAUCAUUAUAUGGCCCUUCAUUAUAUGGUCUUUAACACUAAAAUGUUAUAUAUCACUAAAAACUCAUAUCUACAUCCUUAAAAAAUAAUUUUUACUUCAUCUUAAAUUCAGUGGAUUUUGAAUUCAUUGAUUCAAAACAUCUCCCAAUUCAUUUGUAAGAAACAACUAGCAUCAGAAAAGAUGGAAAAUUACCAGCUGAAUUUCAAUAACAAUUUUUACUUAACCGGUAAAUAGUACAGAAAAAUAAGAUCGAGAUUUGGUAAACACAAUUGUAUUAGCAAUCAGUCAGGAAACAGACACCACACCAAUCCAAUGCCUCUAGAAAUGGGAAAAA